rnacentral:rRNA from 1 species
AAUAGAUACCCAGGUAGUCCACGCCGUAAACGAUGAGUGCUAAGUGUUAGGGGGUUUCCGCCCCUUAGUGCUGCAGCUAACGCAUUAAGCACUCCGCCUGGGGAGUACGGUCGCAAGACUGAAACUCAAAGGAAUUGACGGGGGCCCGCACAAGCGGUGGAGCAUGUGGUUUAAUUCGAAGCAACGCGAAGAACCUUACCAGGUCUUGACAUCCCAUUGACCACUAUGGAGACAUAGUUUUCCCUUCGGGGACAACGGUGACAGGUGGUGCAUGGUUGUCGUCAGCUCGUGUCGUGAGAUGUUGGGUUAAGUCCCGCAACGAGCGCAACCCUUGUUCUUAGUUGCCAUCAUUUAGUUGGGCACUCUAAGGAGACUGCCGGUGACAAACCGGAGGAAGGUGGGGAUGACGUCAAAUCAUCAUGCCCCUUAUGACCUGGGCUACGCACAUGCUACAAUGGACGGUACAAACGGUUGCCAACCCGCGAGGGGGAGCUAAUCCGAUAAAACCGUUCUCAGUUCGGAUUGUAGGCUGCAACUCGCCUAC